rnacentral:rRNA from 1 species
CCUACGGGAGGCAGCAGUGGGGAAUAUUGGACAAUGGGCGAAAGCCUGAUCCAGCAAUGCCGCGUGAGUGAUGAAGGCCUUAGGGUUGUAAAGCUCUUUUACCCGGGAUGAUAAUGACAGUACCGGGAGAAUAAGCUCCGGCUAACUCCGUGCCAGCAGCCGCGGUAAUACGGAGGGAGCUAGCGUUGUUCGGAAUUACUGGGCGUAAAGCGCACGUAGGCGGCUUUGUAAGUCAGAGGUGAAAGCCUGGAGCUCAACUCCAGAACUGCCUUUGAGACUGCAUCGCUUGAAUCCAGGAGAGGUGAGUGGAAUUCCGAGUGUAGAGGUGAAAUUCGUAGAUAUUCGGAAGAACACCAGUGGCGAAGGCGGCUCACUGGACUGGUAUUGACGCUGAGGUGCGAAAGCGUGGGGAGCAAACAGGAUUAGAUACCCCCUGUAGU